GGGUUUCUGAGGAAGGGAUCACACGUCCACUGCGCUCUCUACUCUAAGUCCUUUUAAUGCUUGCACGUUUACAUCCUUCCUCUUCUCGUCCAUUCCUUCUAUUCAGACAUUCCUUUAGGUCAACAGGGGAAUUUACAUCUGAAAAGUAACAUGCAUGGGAAGAGGGUGCUGUCCGAUAACGGCGUCAGGGUGUGCCACGAGCGCUCCACGGGCACCGCCGACACGGGCACACUGGAGACAGCAUGGGGAGAAACGGGUGCAGAUCACUAUUGUCAUCACUCCAUUGGCCUUCCUCCGCCUUCUCGCCCUCUUCCUCAACAGCUGAUGAAACAUCAUCUGACUUCCACAGCAAAUCCAGACAGUGAAUGUCCAUCGACGAGGCCUCCUGUCAAGAGAAAACACACACUGGCUUCACACGUGAGCGGGAUGGAUAUAGGGAAAUUAACUUGAGACUAGGUGUCCAUGGAUACAUUUAAGAACAUGCUGAGGACUGUACUUGGCAUCUUCGCAUGGCACAGUAUUAAAGUAAAAUAAUAAUGUUAAAUAUAAGGAAUACAGUUUGAUGUACAUUCAGUAAAAAUGUUUCUGU